UACGAAGGGGGCUAGCGUUGCUCGGAAUCACUGGGCGUAAAGGGCGCGUAGGCGGGUUCUUAAGUCAGGGGUGAAAUCCUGGAGCUCAACUCCAGAACUGCCUUUGAUACUGGGAAUCUCGAGUCCGGGAGAGGUGAGUGGAACUGCGAGUGUAGAGGUGAAAUUCGUAGAUAUUCGCAAGAACACCAGUGGCGAAGGCGGCUCACUGGCCCGAUACUGACGCUGAGGCGCGAAAGCGUGGGGAGCAAACAGG
rnacentral:rRNA from 1 species